GAUUAACGCUGGCGGCGUGCGUAACACAUUCAAGUCGAACGAAGCAGCAAUGCUUAGUGGCGGACGGGUGAGUAACGCGUGAGCAAUCUACCUCCCAGUACGGAAUAACAACCGGAAACAGUUGCUAAUACCGUAUGAAAUAGCAGUACCGCAUGGUACAACUAUCAAAGAUAUAUUGCUGGGAGAUGAGCUUGCGUCCGAUUAGCUAGAUGGCGGGGUAACGGCCCACCAUGGCGACGAUCGGUAGCCGGACUGAGAGGUUGAACGGCCACAUUGGAACUGAGAUACGGUCCAGACUCCUACGGGAGGCAGCAGUGGGGAAUAUUGGGCAAUGGGCGAAAGCCUGACCCAGCGACGCCGCGUGAGGGAAGAAGAUCUUCGGAUUGUAAACCUUAGUCAACAGGGAAGAAGCAAGUGACGGUACCUGUGGAGGAAGCCACGGCUAACUACGUGCCAGCAGCCGCAGUAAAAC
rnacentral:rRNA from 1 species